CAAGACGGCUGUGAAGAGUAUGUGUGUGAAAAAAUAUCAAAAUCUCUCUGUUUUUCGAUUCCCCCUUUUGUGCUUUCUGUUGCUUCUAUUUAUAUUGAAUGAUCUAGGGUUAGAUUUUUAGAGUUCCCAAGGCAUCAGGAGUCUCUUCUCUUUGCAGAAACUGGAGCUGGAACCCUAAUAAGGAAACUGGUUGUCGGCUGAUACACGACUCGUGCGUCACUACACAGCCCUGGGCUGUGUAACUUACUGGAGCUUGAAUGGUUG
rnacentral:misc_RNA from 1 species